rnacentral:rRNA from 1 species
GAUGAACGCUGGCGGCGUGCUUAACACAUGCAAGUCGAACGGAAAGGCCCAAGCUUGCUUGGGUACUCGAGUGGCGAACGGGUGAGUAACACGUGGGUGAUCUGCCCUGCACUUCGGGAUAAGCCUGGGAAACUGGGUCUAAUACCGGAUAGGACCACAUUUUGGAUGGUUUGGUGGAAAGUUUUUCGGUGUGGGAUGAGCUCGCGGCCUAUCAGCUUGUUGGUGGGGUAAUGGCCUACCAAGGCGUCGACGGGUAGCCGGCCUGAGAGGGUGUACGGCCACAUUGGGACUGAGAUACGGCCCAGACUCCUACGGGAGGCAGCAGUGGGGAAUAUUGCACAAUGGGCGCAAGCCUGAUGCAGCGACGCCGCGUGGGGGAUGACGGCCUUCGGGUUGUAAACUCCUUUCGCUAGGGACGAAGCGUUUUUGUGACGGUACCUGGAGAAGAAGCACCGGCUAACUACGUG